UUCACAUUCCUGGGAGGAUGCAGCCCUGGCCUGGACCUGGGUGAUAGAAGCUUUUUCCCGUGUUUUUAUUUCUGGAGGGGAGCGCUCGGCAAUUGUCCUGGACACACGCCUCUCCCCCUUCUUCCUCCGGCCACCCGCCGAGGAGAGAGUCCCCCUUUUUUGCAUGUAUCGCUUCCUUCCCCUUUCUUUAUUAAAGGUCCGGGAGUGGCGGCGGCCAAUCAGCGCGCGGCUUCCAUUUUGUGAGUUCAACUCCGAGGCGCCCGGGCUCGGCGAGGACGCGCUCGCAGCCCCCUCUGCCUCUCCUCCCGGGCGGCCGAGGCGAAGGAGCCGCCUCGCUGGGGCUCCGUGGCGGUGCACCUCACAUUGGGGCUCUUUUCGGGGUUUGUAAUCUGGCCGUGGGUAGGUAAUUGGCUGGAGCGGGGCGGCAGGGCGCGGCAGCCAAUCAGCGCGCGGCUUCUAUAGGGCUUGCGUUAUUAGACGCUGAUCUCAAAACAUCCCUCAUCAGACACCAAGGAGAGGCCAACAGAUGAGGGGAGCCAUUUUUCUGCAAUGGAAUUAAAUGGCCAAGUGGGUUUUUCCUUUGUUGCAAAUGGGGAAUGUUUUUCCUUUGACUCCACCAUCCAGUUCAGGACGCCUCAGUGUGUUGUUUAACAUUUGUCAACAGGCCAAAGGACUCACAGUUGGAAGAAAUGGAGAAGACCUUUUUAAAAGAUCUGGAUUUUUCCUUAUGACUUUGGAAUCCAUCUUUGUCUUGUAUAACUAGGUCAUAGCACACCAUUAAUGUCAGCAGUUAACAGUUUUGAAUUCCAAAAAACUAAGUAAAUGACAUAUUUAAUUUUUUUUUUCCUCUUUUUUUUCUUUGGGUGGGUGGUGGGAGCUUGGAGCUGUCUUAAUCUGUAUUCUCUUGACUGAACAAUAAAUUUUUAAAUAUAUAUAGUUUCCUCUAUUAAACACUUAAACCUGGCCAUCUUAUUAACUCCUUCUCUCUUUUUAACAAGGUAAUGUUUUAAAUGUAUAGUUUCAGGACUAGCGAAAUGGCAGCAACAAAAAAUUGUGAGCAGUUGUUACUCUUUUAAGUUUUUAAAAACCUUUUACAUUGUAAGUACCCAAUCCAUUCUGUCCUUACGCAGUGCAGUUUUCAUGUUAAUGUUGCUGAGAUGUCCUUAAUUUUCCGAACUUUCAUCUGCAUGUCUGUCUUUGUCUCUCUUGUCUAAAUAAGCCAGUUAAAAUGCUUUGAGACGGUUUUGCUUUUAUAAAGCUAAGGUUUUAGCUUUACGCUUUUGAAAAUGUUUACAGCAAUAAAUGCUAGUCAGCUUUCUUCCCAGUAGCUUGUACACUUUUUUUUGAAAAUCGAUCUAUUUGAAGAAAAACAGCUCUGUUUUUCUCGUCUUUGGUGGGGGGGUGGGGGGGUGAGGGAAAGGAAGACCUUCUCUUUGUGUGGAGAGACUAAAGCCGUCACAGGAAACUAGAUUAAAACUGGAAAACAAGUCCUAGCUGGUUCGAGCCAAACACCAACGUUAGCUGGGAGUCUUUUCUAUGGUGGUUGGGUGGCUGGUGUCUCUUUUGCCUUUUGUUUGAUUUGACUGUGUAUUUUCGCCUUUUGUCUCUUAAUGACGAUCACACCAUUGCUAUAUCCAGAGCAGUAAACAGUCCUCAGCGACGCCGCCUUUUUGCUAACCCAACCCUGGAAAGUUUGCAGAAGUGGAAGGAGCAGAAAAUGCCAUGAGAGUGUAACUUACAAAAAGGUCUCCAAAACCACCGCCCAGCUUGAUCUUCUAGACUCCAUGGCACCGGGCUGAGCGGGUUCAUGGCCGGAGAAGGGGCGACAUGCGGGUACCCCCAGAGUGGACAGCCCUUCCUUCUGUGGACGGCAGGGGCAGGCCUAGUUUGACUGACG